AAAAGCAACUCAGCCGCGGCUGGCGGUUGGUGAUGGAGGAAGAGCACGUCUCGUUGUCGGUCUCCCCUCCCAAAAUCAACGGCGGAACGUCACUGGCACUCGGUGUUGUAGUAUUAUUCGCCGAUCACCCAGUGUUGUUCCUGCCACCCAAACCCCCAUAAUUCUCUU
rnacentral:misc_RNA from 1 species